GAUGAACGCUGGCGGCGUGCCUAAUACAUGCAAGUCGAGCGAACAGACGAGGAGCUUGCUCCUCUGACGUUAGCGGCGGACGGGUGAGUAACACGUGGAUAACCUACCUAUAAGACUGGGAUAACUUCGGGAAACCGGAGCUAAUACCGGAUAAUAUAUUGAACCGCAUGGUUCAAUAGUGAAAGACGGUUUUGCUGUCACUUAUAGAUGGAUCCGCGCCGCAUUAGCUAGUUGGUAAGGUAACGGCUUACCAAGGCAACGAUGCGUAGCCGACCUGAGAGGGUGAUCGGCCACGCUGGAACUGAGACACGGUCCAGACUCCUACGGGAGGCAGCAGUAGGGAAUCUUCCGCAAUGGGCGAAAGCUUGACGGAGCAACGCCGCGUGAGUGAUGAGGGUCUUCGGAUCGUAAAACUCUGUUAUUAGGGAAGAACAAAUGUGUAAGUAACUAUGCACGUCUUGACGGUACCUAAUCAGAAAGCCACGGCUAACUACGUG
rnacentral:rRNA from 1 species